rnacentral:rRNA from 1 species
UACGUAGGGUGCGAGCGUUAAUCGGAAUUACUGGGCGUAAAGUGUGCGCAGGCGGCCUAGCAAGUCGAGUGUGAAAGCCCCGAGCUUAACUUGGGAAUUGCGCUCGAAACUACUUUGCUGGAGUGUGGCAGAGGAAGGUGGAAUUCCACGUGUAGCGGUGAAAUGCGUAGAGAUGUGGAGGAACACCAAUGGCGAAGGCAGCCUUCUGGGCCAACACUGACGCUCAUGCACGAAAGCGUGGGGAGCAAACAGG